rnacentral:tRNA from 1 species
UAUGACUUUAAGUUAAAAAAACUAUAAACCUUCAAAGUUUAAACUAUCAUAUAAGAUAAGUCUUAA